rnacentral:misc_RNA from 1 species
CCCUCCCCACCCAAGACCCCAACCCAAAAAAGUUCCUAAGGGUUUCUUCCGAGAGGCUGUGCUAGCACACUUGUGAAAAUAUCACAAGUGUUGAAUAAUUCUACAAGUGUUGGAAAAUUCUCUACAAGUGUUGGAAAAUUUCACAAGUGUUGGCUAGAACCGCUUUCACAAUGGUAUGGCAGAUUAUGAUCCAUUGAAAAAAGUAAUGUCUGUUCCUGACACUUUGCCUUUUAAUCAGAAUGUAUAUAUAGGGGGACUAGGGGAGCCAUAAACCCCGGGGUCCUCGCAGGGGUGGCCAGCAAAAAUGCAAAAGGAGGCUAGAUGUGUAAACUGACCACGAUGCCCACAGUGCCUUGCCGAAUACCCACAUCGUUCUAGCCAUGCAGGGCCACCGUGUAUUGUCAACACGCCAAGUGCCUUGCCCAAGCCCCACAUCGUCCCAACUCGAUGGCUUGUUAACAGGUCAAGUGUCAUGCCCACAGGAGGUUAUCGUAGUGAACGGGCGACGAUGACCGGUGAGCUAGGCACGAUGCCUUGUUAACAUGCCAAUGGCCUGACACACGCCACACGUCGUUCCAACACGUUACCAGGCAACAGGUCCAAGAUGUCUGGCCACCGGGAAGAACGACCAGGAACCAUGCGCGUGAACGUCCAUGCGACCUAUUCGUGGCGACCCAAGCACAACGGGCCCGACCCAAAGCCCAACGACACAUAGGGCCCGAACAAGGCCCAACGAAGACCUGACCCGAGAACGUGAAGCCGUGACCCGAUACCACCGUAAGAACGCCUGUAUAAAGUUUGGUGUCGAUACGAGUACAACUGGGACGAUCCAA